AGAGCAGCUAGGCGUGUGGGUGUGAUUGUGCGUUUGGAUGAAUGUGGUGUAUGUUUGUGGAGUUCAUGGAGUCCUGGCAGAUCCGGAGAUACAGAGCACCUGUCGGAAGUAGUAAUCGGGGCUCACCAGGGCGGUGGCAUGAACGUGUCAUGGCUGGGAAGAAUACAGAUGUGGAUGGACUGAAAGUCGUCAAGGAAUCUAAGAUAUUCCUUGUCUUUUCCCUUCAUAAAAAACAAAGUUUGUGCAACACAGCACUCUGGAAGCUUCAGGUCUUUAAAACGAGCAAGCCAGGGCCCACACCCAGGCAUUUGCAGAGGAGCCUCUGGACAGAAUUACUCUGGCGUUGUGAGAGUGAAGGGAGUUCCUUCAGAAUAGCUGCUCUCUCCAGUGACUCAGGCUUUAUUUAGUCUUUGCUGCUCAGCAUGGUCCAGUCAGGACAGCAGUCACAGACCUGGCAGUCGAGAGCUUUGAGCUCUUUCUUGUGGGUGCACAAUAGAAAGGAGAAUGCCAAGAGGCGCAUACAGUUCAGACGCAGUUUCCAGCUCUGUCUCCGUGGUUUAUGUUGUGUCACUGGGAUGGGUAAUUGGUGAUUUGUAGAGACUGUCUCCUUACUGGGGAACCUGCUACCUUGGAGAUCGUUGAAGACUGCUCUGUUUAUAGAACUUGGAAGUUCUUGAUGUAGUAGAGACUGUACCUUCUAGGAUUAAAACAGUCUGUUCCCUGUAACUUGGACUUCAAAGUUUUAGUGAAAUAUGAACACUGUCUUGGUUCAUUUUAGACAUUCUGAAGUCAGGCAAAAAAAAAAAAAAAAA
rnacentral:lncRNA from 1 species